rnacentral:lncRNA from 1 species
UAAAUGAAGCUCCACGGCCAUGAUUAAAGCAGCAAAAAAAUGGCUAAUUGAUACGACCCGGAUUUAAUAUAAAACCCACCUGCAAAGGUUUGAGUUGAAUCUCGAUGGUUCUCAAGUUGUCUUCUUUAGAACAAAGAAUAGCACAACUUCGUCCGUUUCUUCAGUCCUUCAAGCCCACCUCAACUCCCCAACUCCCGACCUGAAUUCAGUUACUUCAAGGUUGCUGCGUACUGGAGAGCUUCACUCCUUCAAUCCUUCAAGACCACCUCGAGUCCAAAUCCAGGCGACCAGCUGACCACGAUCGUCGAGCAAGGCAGCAAGGUGCUGCAUUCCUUUCUCUUCUUCUCUCAGAGUCUCAGAGAUUGAAGGCUCCUUCUCUUCUACUGCUCUUCUUCUUUGGGGCAAUCGAUUGAAUGUAGUGCUUUGCUAACUUGCUCUGGAACACUGGAAGUCUGAAACGUGCUCUCUUGCUUACAAUUUAUUGUGGGUUUCUUCUCUUUCUUCCAAUUCGAUGUGAGGAACUGACUCAACUGAGGGCUGAGCCACUGGGGAACAAUGGUUUCGAAUUUAUUGAUUAUAGCAUAGUGAACGAUGACCAAGCAUCACCCUGAUUUGAUCAUGUGCAGGAAGCAACUAGGGAUUGUCAUUGGGCCGCUCUGCCAGAAGUGUGAUGGGUCGUUGUGUUAUAUGUGGAGGAGUUGGGAUUUUUGAUGCUUACUAUUGCUCAUUCGUAGUUUUUGUGGAAAGAACUAUUAUGUAUGAACAAUUAUGUAUGUUAGAUAAAUCAGAACAAUUGUGGAAAGAACAAAUAUGUAUUAUGUAUGUUAGCAAUUCAAAUCCACGAUCUUCAC